rnacentral:rRNA from 1 species
GUUCUGCAGUGGUAGCGGAGGCAAGCAGAAGAGGGCGCGGCCGCGGCAGCUCCGGCUCAGCAAGGUGAAGGGCGAGACCGUCCAGACGCGCCGGCGCACGCCCCGCAAGCAGAAGAGGGCGCGGCUACAGCAGCUCCGGCUCCGCAAGCUGAAGGGCCGGACGAUACCGACCCAUUAAGAACAGAACGAUAUUGAGAAGUGCACGUCUCUUCCCUUCUUCUUCCCCUUUCCCCUAUCGGCGGCUGUGGCGGAUUCGCUUCGCCCACGACGAGCGGACGUUGCCGCCGCCGCUGCGGCAGAGCGCCCCCCCAGCGGCAACCGAAGCGGUCCGUGCCGACGUCCGACCAGGACCACCCGCUGCUCCCGCGGGACCGGCGCUGCCGCCUCCUCCGCGCCGGGUUCCCCGCCGCCGGUAGCACCACGAACCCGACCUGAACCGCCGGACGCUGCUCCGUCGGCAGCCGCGGCGCCACCUGCGCCGCACCGCGACGAAGCCCCUGCCGCCCGAGGUACGGGAACAGUUGACGACGAGGAAGCUCCCCCUUCACGUUCUAACGGAGUCGCACUGACUUCUACUCAUGUUGUUCUGGUACUUUCAGUUACAUUAGUGUGGAACCGAGGACUAUUUCCGCUAUCGCUUCGCCAAGGCCCUACGCGUCAGCCCGCCGAGGCACCAAACGAACUGGGUCUAGUAGUCGCGACUCUCUCCUAACAUAGGCCCCCGACGCCGUAUGCCGUGUUCAAAUCCACGGCAAGUGGUCGAGCAGUCUGACAGCCGCUACCUCGAGCCGUUCGUGUUCUAGUCCCACUUGCGGCAGACGGCGCCGGAGGUGGACCCCCUGUUCAAGGGAGAGAGACAACCCCUCCUCUUCCGGCUCUUCCGCUGGCCCCUCCACUACGGCGACGCCGCCACCGACCUGGGCCUGUUCCUGGAGCGAAGGUGCCACGACAUGGACCAGCCGCUGCUGAGGGCGAAGUACUGUCCGUGGUGGUAGAUACAGCUGCCGCGUGUCAGGUAACACGCGGGAGCGUACGCAAGGAAGGACAUCCACCUGGUUCGGCAUAGUUACCGCAAGCCUCUCUUGCCUCGUUGGUUGAUGUAGGCGUAGGUCCCAUUGCCGUAAUGGCGGCCUCGCUGCUGCCUCCGCCGGUACCGCCUCGCCCCCCACCUCAGCCAGGACAAGGCCCCCUUCUUCGACUACGGCGUCUGGUUGCUGCUCGCCGACCUGCCGCACCACCUCGUCGACCACGCCCUAGGAGGCACUAAGCCGGUAACGGUAAGAGGUGCCUAGACCGGCACCGGUGUUGGCUGCGACGGCCAAGGUACCUCCUCGAGUGGGGCCGGAAGAGGAGCAAAAGGAGGUACCAGCCCAGAGGAUCACCUCCACGGCUACGACGGCCAAGGUGUUGCGUUCUCGGGCACCGUUGCGCCGUUUGACUUCAACAAGCGGCCGCAGCGUGUCCCGCAAAAACCGCAGCGUCCUUUGGGAUGGAGCCCCAACCGUAUCCCGUAGAGACCGCAGCAUACUUUGGGGUGGCGCCCCGACCACGUCCCUCACCGGCUGGUAGGGUGGGACGACUUCGGCGUCCCGCAGAGACGGUUCAGGUACCAACCGCUCAGGUUCCGGCAGAGAUAGGUCCGGAGGCACCAGCUCCGCUUGACGUGAUUGUAGCUACAGACGGGACUUGACAAACGUAGAUUUUCGAGAACACUGCUACCUUUCAGAUGGAGGUUCCCUGGUUUUUUCUUUUAGCCAGGAUUUUCUAGAAGCGGACUGUGUAGAUGAGUGCUACUGUCACUUCAUAUAGUUCGACCACGAUUUUCUUCCUGAGAAUUGGGGAGAUAAGGAGUAUUCCUCUCGAACCUCAGACUUCUAAAAAGACGUUUCAUCCAAAGGGAAACCGAGAUUAAGUACUAUAAACCAUUGAACAACAACAACAUCAAUAUAACUAUUGGACCACUAAAGUCUAUGGUUGUUUUUAAAUAAACGGAUAUAAUGCCAACGUCUUCAGGAACACCUAUAGGAUAUGUCAUAUUUAUACUUGGUGGUGAACCACCUAGCGACGACAAAUCUCGAGACGAGACAAUUACGAUGAAACUCAGAUCUACCGUAAUUGAUGUCUCUUCCCUAGAUCGAUCCAAACGUUACCGUACACAUGAUUGCUUAGUAAAAUCAGAGUCCAAAAGGGACGUUUUGACUUCAAGUACAGAGUACAAACCUAAUUAGUGCCACAUCAGACUACCAUUAAACAGAUGAAUCACGUCAAAUACAUAAGAAGGUGUUGAAGUAAAUUACGAAAGUCUCAAUUUCAAAACCCCUAUCAAACCUACAAUAUGGGUUCCGUAAUAUUAACGAGAUAUAAUAAGAAUUAAAGUAUAUAGUAGUGGAAUCUGAUGAGCUUGACAGCCGGUACGAAACACUAGUACACGCUGCUCGUAUAACAAGCCACGACGAUAAAAGGUAAGCGACGACCCAACGAAGAUGAGAGGUGGUUAGACAGUUCAUCGUUUCUCAUCCAAACUGGAGUUAAAGCUACGUCUGUACCUAACCCUACACUACGUACAUGAACGAUUAAUUCCCUAAACCUAGAACGGGAGUUAAUCUCAAGGGUUAGAGUUGCUUCACCCCAAAUGCUUAAAAUAAUAAAAAAUCGAACUUACCUGACAUCGAAGCGAAUUAACUGACUGUCAACAUAAACUGACGUAUUGACCUAAUUAACUAAAGUACCGUCUACGGCCAAAACUGGAACCAACUAGUACGAAACAAGGAACAAACCGGACGUUGUAUAAAAGAUACGUAAGCGUCUUUACCAUUGACUUAUUAAUGAAGUAUGACGUCUUGUAGAACGAAUUAUGGACUCAGGGGCCGGGAACAACGAUGUCCAAAUAGAACCUGUACUAAGAGUUUCUUCUAUGUCUACACGUACGAAGUAUAGAAGAUGUGCGAAUACGUUUCGUCCUAAAAUAAGUAUAAAACUACUCGAAUUAAAGAAUACGAUUACAAACGAAGGCGGACUUCCUAUGUAUACCAUACAAAACACUCGCCACCCAUACCUACUCAUUACGGGACGAUGAGGAACCCCCCGCACUCACUUCUAAAUACGGAAUUCGUAUCCUUACUCCCUCAUCCAUAGGUUGUCUUAUCCGCUACUACGAUCCUCUUUUUCUUCUGAAACUAGACCAAGAAGUUUCUCCAUGUAGUUCCUUGUUCAUGUACCACGAUGAGCUACCAGUCGGUCUAAGACUGAUAAUAAAACCCUACGGUUUCUCUAUCGUGUACUACAAGCUGGCGACCCCUUAACUUCAUAUCACGAAUGGUUAUAUGACCGUACAUAAAAAAAGAUUUCCUAUAUCACCAAAGGAAAUCAACUUUAUGUAUUUUAAAAGUGGGGGUUACUAAGUUGUUCUCAACAAGUAAUUUUCACACACCAGAGAAAGAAGUAGUUCUUAACUUUAUAGACACGAUAAUAUUGAGGUACCUCUCGUUAUUAUAUUAAAAGUGUUCCC